rnacentral:rRNA from 1 species
GACGAACGCUGGCGGCGUGCUUAACACAUGCAAGUCGAACGGACGCUGGGGGCUUGCCCCUGGUUGUUAGUGGCGAACGGGUGAGUAACACGUGAGUAACCUGCCCCCUUCUCUGGGAUAACUGCUCGAAAGGGUAGCUAAUACCGGAUAUUCUGGCGCAUUCGCAUGGGUGUGUUAGGAAAGGAUUCUGGUGGGGGAUGGGCUCGCGGCUUAUCAGCUUGUUGGUGGGGUAAUGGCCUACCAAGGCUUUGACGGGUAACCGGCCUGAGAGGGUGGUCGGUCACAUUGGGACUGAGAUACGGCGCAGACUCCUACGGGAGGCAGCAGUGGGGAAUAUCGCACAAUGGGCGAAAGCCUGAUGCAGCGACGCCGCGCGAGGGAUGAAGGCUUUCGGGUUGUAAACCUUUUUCGCUUUUGACCAAGUGCCCAAUUUGUUGGGUGUGAGGGUAUGGAGUAAAGAAGCACCGGCUAACUACGUGCCAGCCGCCGCAGUAAAAC